UACAGAGGUCUCAAGCGUUGUUCGGAUUCAUUGGGCGUAAAGGGUGCGUAGGCGGCGCGGUAAGUCGGGUGUGAAAUCUCGGAGCUUAACUCCGAAACUGCAUUCGAUACUGCCGUGCUUGAGGACUGGAGAGGAGAUUGGAAUUUACGGUGUAGCAGUGAAAUGCGUAGAUAUCGUAAGGAAGACCAGUGGCGAAGGCGGAUCUCUGGACAGUUACUGACACUGAGGCACGAAGGCCAGGGGAGCAAACGGG
rnacentral:rRNA from 1 species